CCAGGCGCUUCCGCGGAGUGAGUACACAGGAGCAGUUGUGCAAUAGGAGCCAGGAUCUGAGGAAAAAUGACGAGAGCAAAGAAUGGCUGGAUGGGACCAUCUCAGGAGCAGGUAAGGCUGACCAGACGUGUGUGUACGGGGAGUCCUCUCUUUGGAGUGAGGUGCCCCCUGGCCCAGCCCCAGGGGGUAAGGAUGCGGGCACUGCUGAGCAGUCUGCAGGUGAUCAGCUGUCUCAGGAGCUGAAGCAUGUGAAGAGCGAGCUGGAGCGAGUGAAGGCCGAGCUUGCUGAGAAGACUGCCCAGUGUGAAGCCUAUCACCAGGCGAUCUGCUCCUUCCAGGCUCAGCUCAGGGCAGCAGGUACGAAUCUGGAAGAUGCAGAAGUGAAGGAAAGUGGUGACUCGGGGAGAGCCUCACAGCAGCACAUGGGAACAGAGCCAUGAGAGCUACUUCUU